GGGAUGGUAGCUCAGUCGGUAGCAGCACCGCACUUUUAAUGCGGGGGUCCCGGGUUCGAGUCCCGGCCAUCCCACCA
rnacentral:tRNA from 1 species